AUGGCAAAGGGUCUGCAAUUUCCCUUAAGAAUGAGGGUAGGUAAUGGUGUAAAGAUGGCUUUUCUGCUUCUAUAAAUACUAGUGACCGUCGUGUAGAUGGUCAGUAUUGUUUCAUCAUGUCACACUCGCAGGAGCUCCACACCGUUCUCGAAUUUGUAUCCAAAAAGUUAAUAAAAACCGGGAUUAUUAAAAAUAUUACAAUAUAUUUAAAAAAAGUGUAGUGCAAAGAAAGUUUCUAAGUGUGCACUUUUUCUAGAAAAUAGAGACUCUCUGCGUAUUGCGCAGAGAUGUAUAAGAAAGAAAUUUAAAAAAGUGGAUGCGAGAAUCCUCGGUAAAAUAAACGCCCGCAACUUUAAUCAGGAUAACAGGAUCGAUGAGUAUGAGCCAAUUCUUUCAGAUGACUCCAUGGAGGGGAGCCAUCAUGCCACACCAUCCUGUUCAUCGUCAUCGGAUGAAUCAGAUGCUGAUUCGGAGGCCAGCACAAUAGAAUUGGCAGAGGAGGUACAAGCAGGCCACGGCGUAUAUUCCCCCGAUAUGCAGGGGAUAGGUUACGCUGUGUUCGAUGAGCCUAAUGAAGAGGAAGAAUCUCAUAUAGUACAAAUCCCGAGAAUGAAUCUGAAGUGAUUCAGAUGAGAGAAGAGAUGUUAGAGGUUCCAGAGAACUGCGAGGAUGUAAAUUUGUCCAUUGAUGAACAAAAUCAUGUCCAGGAAAAAAAAUUCAUAAUGAAAUGAAAUUUAAAAAGGGGGAGUCAU